GCCGGGGUGGCCGAGCGGCCCAAGGCGGCGGAUUGCUAAUCCGUUACCCGUUGAGGGUGCCCGGGUUCGAAUCCCGGCCCCGGCGCCA
rnacentral:tRNA from 1 species